rnacentral:lncRNA from 1 species
GGUUUCAUUUUGUAGUAAAGUACCCUAUGUUCAUCUUUUGUACUUGAUGAUGAAUGAUGUAAAGAAAAGAAUGUAAUGUGUAUUUUGAGGUAAAUGUGAUGUAAGAAAGAAAUGAUGAAGCGAAAUGUAUGGAAUUCAAAAAAAAAUAUAUACAAGUUGGAUGUAUGUAUAUGAUCACAAUUGAAUCAUAGUACAAGCGAAUGUUUAGUUU